rnacentral:lncRNA from 10 species
UAUUCUCUAAUGGUUUGGGACUCAAAAUAAGCAAAUCAAAGGUCUUCAAAGUCCAGGCAACUGUUGCCUCUGCUAAAAGAGAGAAGAGAUGGAGAAAAGCCUUAAAAUGGACACCCGACUUGCAUAUUCAAGGACCAGCAAAGAGGCUGAGGAAACGAACAGCCAGGAUAUGUGGAGCCUUGUAGACCACUGUCAAGACUGACUUUUCCUUGAGUGAAAUUGAGAAUGAUUAAAUGUUUUUGAA